GGGCCCGCACAAGCGGAGGAACAUGUGGUUUAAUUCGAUGAUACGCGAGGAACCUUACCCGGGCUUGAAUUGCAGACGAAUAUGCCGGAAACGGUAUAGCCAGCAAUGGCGUCUGUGAAGGUGCUGCAUGGUUGUCGUCAGCUCGUGCCGUGAGGUGUCGGCUUAAGUGCCAUAACGAGCGCAACCCUCAUCAUUAGUUACUAACAGGUCAAGCUGAGGACUCUAAUGAGACUGCCGGCGUAAGCUGUGAGGAAGGUGGGGAUGACGUCAAAUCAGCACGGCCCUUACGUCCGGGGCGACACACGUGUUACAAUGGGGGGGACAGCAGGCAGCGAGGUGGUGACACUGAGCGAAUCCUCAAACCCUCUCUCAGUUCGGAUCGAAGUCUGCAACCCGACUUCGUGAAGCUGGAUUCGCUAGUAAUCGCGCAUCAGCCAUGGCGCGGUGAAUACGUUCCCGGGCCUU
rnacentral:rRNA from 1 species